GAUGAACGCUGGCGGCAUGCUUAACACAUGCCAGUCGGACGGGAAACCCGGGCUACGGUGUUUCCCGUGGCGGACGGGCGGGUAACGCGUACGAACCUGCCCUUGGCAGGGGAACAACAUCUGGAAACGGCUGCUAAUACCCCGUAGGCUGAGGAGCAAAAGGAGGAAGGCGCCCGCGGAGGGGCUCGCGGCUGAUUAGCUAGUUGGUGGGGCAGUAGCUUACCACGGCGAUGAUCGGUAGCCGGUCCGCGAGGAUGAUCAGCCACACCGGGACUGAUGAGCGGCGCCGCAGCCUCCGACAGGAGGCAGUGGUGAGUAUUGUACCGUGAUCGGCGGCAUCCUGACGGAGCGACGCCGGGGGGAUGUAGACGGUCCACUUGUCGUCAACUUCUGCUCCUGACGAAGAGGGAAUGACGGUAUCUGGUGAAGAAGCACCGGCUAACUCCGUG
rnacentral:rRNA from 1 species